rnacentral:rRNA from 1 species
UACGGAAGGCAGCAGUGGGGAAUAUUGCACAAUGGGCGCAAGCCUGAUGCAGCCAUGCCGCGUGUAUGAAGAAGGCCUUCGGGUUGUAAAGUACUUUCAGCGGGGAGGAAGGCGGUAAGGUUAAUAACCUUAUCGAUUGACGUUACCCGCAGAAGAAGCACCGGCUAACUCCGUGCCAGCAGCCGCGGUAAUACGGAGGGUGCAAGCGUUAAUCGGAAUUACUGGGCGUAAAGCGCACGCAGGCGGUCUGUCAAGUCGGAUGUGAAAUCCCCGGGCUUAACCUGGGAACUGCAUUCGAAACUGGCAGGCUAGAGUCUUGUAGAGGGGGUAGAAUUCCAGGUGUAGCGGUGAAAUGCGUAGAGAUCUGGAGGAAUACCGGUGGCGAAGGCGGCCCCUGGGACAAAGACUGACGCUCAGGGUGCGAAAGCGUGGGGAGCGAAAC